GGAUGCCAGCCCAGGGGGAGGGACCUGGGCCCGGCGCUGGCCCGCCCUAUCCCGUCCAGGUGCUGCUGCCGGCGCCGAGCUGGAGACGGAGCGGCCAGCCCCGGCCCCAUGGACAGCCUCGCCCCCUGGAAGGGGGCCCGGCGGAAGAGCGACAGCAGACCUUCCAGGUCCAACCUGAACGUGGCCUUGGAGGAAUGCAUGACUGCCCUGGACCUCUUCCUCACCAACCAGUUCUCCGAGGCGCUCACCUACCUGCAGCCCAAGUAGGAGCCUCACUUGUUGGGGAUGGGGGAUGGGAGGGGGCUCCUCCCUCAGCAGAUGUUUCCAUCUGUGUGAUGGGCAGCACCCAGCAGCCUCGGAGCUUCUUGCCCUCUGCUAUGAAUCAGCUUCCUGGCAGGUCCUUUAACCGCUUGGAGCCUCUGUUUUCUCAUCUGUAAAAUGGGGGAAAUCAUGGCUCCUCCCUCUCAGGGCUGCUGGGAGGAUCAAAUGAGAUCACCCCCCCCAGUACCGAAUGAAUGCUGGGGCUAACGAUGGGACAGUCCCUGCUUGCAGGGGGCUUACGGUCUUCUGGGGGCCGGCACCCACGUACUCACCUCGGGGUCAGGGAGGGCUUCAUGGAAGCAGAGGUACUUGGGUAGAGCUUCGGACGGGAAUGAGGCUUCUGAGGAGGGUCACUGAGGAGGGCAGGCAUCCCAGGCAAGGGGCACGACCUAAGCAAAGGCAAGGAGAUGAGAGAAGGAACGUCAAGAUGAUGAAAUAGUCAGCAGGGCCAUUUUGGACCGAAGGACUAGAGAGGCAAAAAGGCUUAUCCAAAGCUACACAGCCAGUCAUUACCAGGACCAGACUGUCAACAGGAAAGUGAGAGGAGCAGGGGAGAGAGAGAGACAGAAGAGGGAACUGGGGGGGC
rnacentral:lncRNA from 1 species